AGGCUGGGUCACGUACCUAAACUUGUGACCAGGGGUCUCUAGUUUUAGAAAUGGAAACCCCUUUCACAACCACGAUGUUGGAGAGGGAAGCAGCUACCUCAAAAGAAGGGAAUGAACGGUUGAGACCAGACAAUAUAAUAAGUGGCCACUCUCUGGUAGAGAAAGACUUUGGAGGAAACCCAUCAGGCAUCCAGAACCCACAGCUCUGCCAUCAGAACUCCAUCCUGGGAACAGAAGCCGUCUAUCUGCAUCUGUAAACAUGGCCUCAUGUAGUGACGUGCAGGGAAAUGAGUGUGCCCUUGCAAUGGUUCUCAGUCCUUUCUUUAUCUCAACAUCAUGGCAUUUUAUGGCUUCCCUCAUGAGACAACUCAAUUAUUCUCACAAUUUAUCUAGAUUUCUGGAAAAAUAUGUUGGAAUGUGGCCUUCCUACCCCAUUCCCUCUGACAACAGGUUUAUUGAGGAAUAUAUUUUACUUUCAUAUUUUUAUUUCAGAGGAAAAAUUUCUCCCCAGACAUUUAUUUUCCCCAUGGUUCUCUAAGAGGGAGACAUGAAUGAGGAAACCAUAAAAUAAAAUCAGAUAAGGUGGGACACCAAGAUAAUCAUGUAGCUUGAUUUUGAUGUCUGGACCUCUUUUUAAAAGUUAAGGAAAGAACAAGUUCUUGUUCUCUUUGCAGGUAAAUCCACGGGAACCUUCUCAGUGCAGUGGUAAUACAGAGUAUAAAGUAGCCCUCCUUACUCUUAAGAGGAAAUUUUGCCUCUUCACCUUUCCAAAAGAAAUGACGGUAAUUGUUCUUUAAUUCUCAAACAACCUUAUCUUUUGGUAGCUCAAUAAUGGCAGCAUCUGGUAUAACUUGGAUGCAAGGACUGUUGGCAAGAUCACUAUAAUUUCCAAGAUUUCCAGAAAUUUUCAAUUAAGACUGUUAAAAAUAAAAAAAUACAGGAUAUGAUUUUCAAAGCUGGAAAAUAAAUGCCUGAUUAUAUGGAAUGGUCCCCUUUUGAGGAAAGAAACUGGGAAUAGUUUGGAGCACAAUUUGGCAUAAUGAAGGGAAUGUAAGGUUUAGUCCUGCAGUCACUAAUUGUAUGACUUCAGGCAAAUUACCCUUUCUAGGCCUCAGUUUCCUUAUCUGAAAAAUGGGGAUGAUAAUAAUACUGUACCUACCUCAUAGGUUGCUUUGAUGAUUAAAUGAGCCAAUACAUGUAAAGUACUUGGAAGAGCACUUGCCUCUAGUAGAGCUUGUUCUUAUUAUCAACACUACAGGAGUUACUAGGAAUACAUGAUUAAUUCUGCCUGUAGCCUUUUCAGAAGACUUAGCAUUAGAAUUUUAUUUUGAAGGGCACACCAGUGCAGGAGCAUAGGCUUUUUUCUCAAACAUCUUGAUAACACCAGAAGACAUUUGCCGAUUUCAAAUUGACAACUCAUGACAAUGUGUAAGUUCUAAGUUUCAACCCAAUACUCUUUGCCUCAAGUUGUUCUCCUUCCACUUUAGAGAAAUCAUUACUUCCUGUGUUAAGCAAAUGCCUCGAAAUCAUCUCAGAGUUCCCCCGUGAGUGAUCCUAGUUUUGAAGAGACUAUUCUCAACCCACCUGUCAAUUAUGUCAGUGUAAAGGCAUCCAGAACAUCUGUCCUGAAUUUUCCCGGACUGCACCUGGACUUCAAAAUGAUGGAAGGUGGUGAUCUAACUGUGCAGAAAACAUUGUGAAACAGGCCACAUUCUCAAACUGGUUUGAGAAACUUUUAGAAUAAAAUGUGUCUGGCUAGGUU
rnacentral:lncRNA from 1 species